CAGCAGCCGCGGUAAUACGUAGGGUGCAAGCGUUAAUCGGAAUUACUGGGCGUAAAGCGUGCGCAGGCGGUUAUAUAAGACAGAUGUGAAAUCCCCGGGCUCAACCUGGGAACUGCAUUUGUGACUGUAUAGCUAGAGUACGGCAGAGGGGGAUGGAAUUCCGCGUGUAGCAGUGAAAUGCGUAGAUAUGCGGAGGAACACCGAUGGCGAAGGCAAUCCCCUGGGCCUGUACUGACGCUCAUGCACGAAAGCGUGGGGAGCAAACAGGAUUAGAUACCCGAGUAGUCCCUGUCUCUUAUAA
rnacentral:rRNA from 1 species